AAAUUGCAAAAAUAUGAAAAACCUGCAUUCGGAAAUACAGGAACUUAGAGGUAUUGUGGAAGGUCAAAAUAAAAUUAUUAUGCGGACGCUGGCGGAACAUAAUAUAUUACUAAAGCGGCUUAUAUACCAGGAAUAUAUUUCUGAUGAUGUGCUUAAAUAUUUUCCUUUGAAGUCAUUGGAGGAUUUGAAAGAAAUUGACGAAAAAAUAUGCGGAGCAAGCAGACCAAUUUUUAUCAAAGCACUGAAGGAGCUAACGAAGGGAAAGUGAACAAAAAAAUUGGAUAAUAUAAUCAGCACUGAAGUUAUCAUGUCCAUAAACAUUGAUGGAGUCUACGGAAAGCAAGGACUGAAAGAAUAUAGACAAUUCUUCGAUACUUUGUUAGUUGCGAUCGAUAGUCCUGACCCAAUCCAGGAGCUCCGUACUGCAAUAGAAGUUAUAAAGAAACGAUAUUUUCUCAAAGUCAGCAUUCGAAAAAAUUCCACAAAAAUAAUUUAUAUCAUAUCUAUUAUUUUAAUUAGUAUGAAUUAAAGAAAAAGCCAUUUGCAGCCCGCGAUAAAAGACAGCAGAUAAACACUUUGACAAGCUUUGACUAUUUUUUGUUAUUUUAUUAAUGUUCACAAUUAUUAUUUUUUUUAAUAUAGCUCAUGGUCUAACGAAGACUACAUAUAUAAAUUCAAAAUUUUAAACUUGGUACAUAAAUGUCACAAGCUUUUUAUCACAAUUCUAAGGUUUUUAAUUAGAUAAAAAAAAUUAAAAUCCCGUUGAUUUUUUUAUAUAUUUUUUUUAGCUUACAGUGUUAGGAACUUUCUUCCAUAAAAAGUAUAAAAAAUCAACGGUAUUUUAAGCAACUUAAAAGGUGUACAUUUCUUUACUUAUAUUUAAUAAUCUUUUAUAGCGUACCAAAAAUGUUUCUAGAAACUCUAAUGUAAAACCUUAGAAUUGUGAUAAAAAGAUUGACAUUUGUGUACCAAGUUUGAAAUUUGAAUUUAUAUAUGUAGUCUUCGUUAUACAAUGAGCUACAUAUACU